rfam:Lysinibacillus sphaericus OT4b.31 genomic scaffold Ls31_scaffold1, whole genome shotgun sequence.
UUGUGAGGUAGAGGCGCGAUAUUUAUUAGUUCAUUGUUGAGUUUAAGCAAGCGAGGACGCAAUGAAGAAGGAAAUGUCGCCGAAGCAUAAAAGGAGCUCGUACUUUUAUGCUGGGUCUGCAGUGAAUAAGUGCAGGACUGUCCUAGUAAAUAUAAUUCCAGUUUACUAGGUUGUGCUAUCUCGGAA